UACUUUUGCACCCGAAUUACAUAAUAAUCAUUUAAAUAAUAUUGGAAUG
rfam:Chryseobacterium bovis DSM 19482 genome assembly, contig: LX71DRAFT_scaffold00009.9